rnacentral:rRNA from 1 species
GACGUAGGGCGCGAGCGUUGUCCGGAUUUAUUGGGCGUAAAGAGCUCGUAGGUGGUUUGUCGCGUUGUUCGUGAAAACUCACAGCUCAACUGUGGGCGUGCGGGCGAUACGGGCAGACUAGAGUACUGCAGGGGAGACUGGAAUUCCUGGUGUAGCGGUGGAAUGCGCAGAUAUCAGGAGGAACACCGGUGGCGAAGGCGGAUCUCUGGGCCUUACCUGACGCUCAGGUGCGAAAGCUAGGGGAGCGAACAGG